UUUAUGGAGAGUUUGAUCCUGGCUCAGGAUGAACGCUGGCGGCGUGCCUAAUACAUGCAAGUCGAGCGAACGGACGAGAAGCUUGCUUCUCUGAUGUUAGCGGCGGACGGGUGAGUAACACGUGGAUAACCUACCUAUAAGACUGGGAUAACUUCGGGAAACCGGAGCUAAUACCGGAUAAUAUUUUGAACCGCAUGGUUCAAAAGUGAAAGACGGUCUUGCUGUCACUUAUAGAUGGAUCCGCGCUGCAUUAGCUAGUUGGUAAGGUAACGGCUUACCAAGGCAACGAUGCAUAGCCGACCUGAGAGGGUGAUCGGCCACACUGGAACUGAGACACGGUCCAGACUCCUACGGGAGGCAGCAGUAGGGAAUCUUCCGCAAUGGGCGAAAGCCUGACGGAGCAACGCCGCGUGAGUGAUGAAGGUCUUCGGAUCGUAAAACUCUGUUAUUAGGGAAGAACAUAUGUGUAAGUAACUGUGCACAUCUUGACGGUACCUAAUCAGAAAGCCACGGCUAACUACGUGCCAGCAGCCGCGGUAAUACGUAGGUGGCAAGCGUUAUCCGGAAUUAUUGGGCGUAAAGCGCGCGUAGGCGGUUUUUUAAGUCUGAUGUGAAAGCCCACGGCUCAACCGUGGAGGGUCAUUGGAAACUGGAAAACUUGAGUGCAGAAGAGGAAAGUGGAAUUCCAUGUGUAGCGGUGAAAUGCGCAGAGAUAUGGAGGAACACCAGUGGCGAAGGCGACUUUCUGGUCUGUAACUGACGCUGAUGUGCGAAAGCGUGGGGAUCAAACAGGAUUAGAUACCCUGGUAGUCCACGCCGUAAACGAUGAGUGCUAAGUGUUAGGGGG
rnacentral:rRNA from 1 species